rnacentral:rRNA from 1 species
GACGAACGCUGGCGGCGUGCCUAAUACAUGCAAGUAGAACGCUGAAGGAGGAGCUUGCUUCUCUGGAUGAGUUGCGAACGGGUGAGUAACGCGUAGGUAACCUGCCUGGUAGCGGGGGAUAACUAUUGGAAACGAUAGCUAAUACCGCAUAAUAGUAGAUGUUGCAUGACAUUUGCUUAAAAGGUGCAAUUGCAUCACUACCAGAUGGACCUGCGUUGUAUUAGCUAGUUGGUGGGGUAACGGCUCACCAAGGCGACGAUACAUAGCCGACCUGAGAGGGUGAUCGGCCACACUGGGACUGAGACACGGCCCAGACUCCUACGGGAGGCAGCAGUAGGGAAUCUUCGGCAAUGGACGGAAGUCUGACCGAGCAACGCCGCGUGAGUGAAGAAGGUUUUCGGAUCGUAAAGCUCUGUUGUAAGAGAAGAACGAGUGUGAGAGUGGAAAGAUCACACUGUGACGGUAUCUUACCAGAAAGGGACGGCUAACUACGUG